rnacentral:misc_RNA from 1 species
AACUCUCAAACCCAAGUUUUGGAUUUCGAUCCAUGCUUGAGUUUGGAUUUGGAUGUUUGCCGGUGAUAAGCCGACUCAUCUUAAAAGUAUUAGCUAGAUCUGUCUCUAUGACUGGUUUGACUUGGCAUAAUAAGUAUUUUGCUGAGGACAUCUUCGGAUGGCCAGGACCUUGACUAUUGUCUGCUAACUAAACCAUUACCUUAAGUGCAUCUUUGGAUGUUACUCAUUGUAUAACUUUGAC